GACGAACGCUGGCGGCGUGCCUAAUACAUGCAAGUAGAACGCUGAAGGGUGGAUCUUGCUCUUCUUGGCUGAGUUGCGAACGGGUGAGUAAGGCGUAGGUAACCUGCCUGGUAGCGGGGGAGAAAUAGCGGUAACGAUAGCUAAUACCGCAUAAAAUGGAUUAUCGUAUGAUACUGCAUUGAAAGGUGCCAAUGCAGCACUACCAGAUGGACCUGCGUUGUAUGAGCAAGAUGGUGGGGUAACGGCUCACCAAGUCGAAGAUAGAGAGCCGACCUGAGAGGGUGAUGGGCAACACUGGGACUGGGACUGGGCCCAGGACCAGACGGGAGGCAGCAGUAGGGGAUCGUAGGAAAUGGACGUAAGUCUGAGCCAGAACCACCGAGUGAGUGAAGAAGACUAUCGGACCGUAAAGCUCUGUCGUAAGAGAUGCACGAGUGUGAGAGUGGAAAGUUCACUAUGUGACGGUACCUUACCAGAAAGCGACGGCUAACUACGUG
rnacentral:rRNA from 1 species